UUUCCGUAGGUGAACCUGCGGAAGGAUCAUUAAAAAAUUGGACUCCAUUGGUGAGUUCAUUAAUAAUCCCUACCCUUUGUGAAUUUGUUUGUUCGAAUAACUUUUUUCCAAAAAAAAUUAUUGAAUGUCUUUCCUUGUUUUGGUGGAGCUUGUAAAGUGAAACCAGGCAGGGGAAUGGCAGACAAUAAUUAUUUUUGAAAAAGACCUUUUUUUAAAAUUAAACUUUUUGUAUUCAUUUGUCUAAAAUUAAUUUUAUAAUAUAAAAACAACUUUUGACAAUGGAUCUCUUGGUUCUCGCAACGACGAAGAACGCAGCAAAAUGCGAUAAGUAGUGUGAAUUGCAGAAUACGUGAAUCAUCGAAUCUUCGAACGCAUAUUGCACUUUUUUAGUUUACUAAAAAAGUAUGUCUGUUUGAGUAUCAGUAAAAUAUUCUCAUAAAAAACAUUGUUUUUUUUAUGGUUAUGAGUGUUUUACAACGAUAACAAGUUGUUUCACUUUAAAUUCUUUGUUAUCAAAAAAAUCAUUAAAAGCUAAUUUUAAAGAUUUUUAAAAUUGGAUAAAAUUUUCCCGUAAAAAGGAAUAACCUAAACAAUUUUAAAAAAUUAAAAUUGGUUUGAUUUUUUUUGAAACCCAAAGGAAAAAAAAACGAAAUUAACUUGAUCUCAAAUCAGAUAAGAGUACCCGCUGAACUUAAGCAUAUCAAUAAGCGGAGGAAAAGAAACUAACUAGGAUUCCCUCAGUAACGGCGAGUGAAGCGGGAAGAGCACAAAUUUGAAAUCUUCAAGGUUUUACCUUGACGAAUUGUAGUUUAAAGAAGUGUUUUCUGUUGGAGUUUUGGUAAAAGUUCUUUGGAAAAGGACAUCAUAGAGGGUGAGAAUCCCGUAUUUGACCAUUAUCUCCAGCUUUGUGAUACACUUUCAAAGAGUCGGAUUGUUUGGGAAUGCAGUCCAAAAUGGGUGGUAAAUUUCAUCUAAAGCUAAAUACUGGCGAGAGACCGAUAGCGAACAAGUACCGUGAGGGAAAGAUGAAAAGAACUUUGAAAAGAGAGUUAAACAGUACGUGAAAUUGUCAAAAGGGAAGCGUUUGACACCAGUGUUGUUUUCUCGAAAAUCAAUUAAGAAAGGCCGGAUUUUGUGUUGUAUUGACUUUAUCAGCUUUCUGCACUCUUUUCUUGUCUUUUUUAAUGCACUUUUCGUUUAACAAGUCAACAUCAAUUUCUUUUGUUGUAAAAGGGUCAUUGGAAGGUGGCUUUCUUUUCGGAGAAAGUGUUUAUAGCCUUUGGCCUCUGCAAUCGGAGAGAUUGAGGUCUGCAGCGUAGAUCCUUCGGGGUUAGAUACAUUUGUGCUAGGUUAUAGCCUUUCAUAGACAACUUGUUGACUAUGAUCAGUCAUGUAGCUUACUCGCUUAUGCUAUUUUACCUACGCUUAGGAUGUUG
rnacentral:misc_RNA from 1 species